rnacentral:rRNA from 1 species
UACGGAAGGCAGCAGUGGGGAAUAUUGGACAAUGGGCGCAAGCCUGAUCCAGCCAUGCCGCGUGUGUGAAGAAGGCCUUCGGGUUGUAAAGCACUUUUGUCCGGAAAGAAAAGCUUAGGGUUAAUAACCUUGAGUCAUGACGGUACCGGAAGAAUAAGCACCGGCUAACUUCGUGCCAGCAGCCGCGGUAAUACGAAGGGUGCAAGCGUUACUCGGAAUUACUGGGCGUAAAGCGUGCGUAGGCGGUUUUGUUAAAGUCUGAUGUGAAAGCCCUGGGCUCAACCUGGGAAUGGCAUUGGAAACUGGCUUACUAGAGUGCGGUAGAGGGGUGUGGAAUUCCCGGUGUAGCAGUGAAAUGCGUAGAUAUCGGGAGGAACAUCUGUGGCGAAGGCGACACCCUGGACCAGCACUGACACUGAGGGCACGAAAGCGUGGGGAGCAAACAGGGAUUAGAUACC